rnacentral:misc_RNA from 1 species
GAAAUGCGAUAAGUAGUGUGAAUUGCAGAAUGCAGUGAAUCAUCGAAUCUUUGAACGCACAUUGCGCCCUUUGGUAUUCCUUAGGGCAUGCCUGUUCGAGCGUCAUCUAAACCUUCAAGCCCUGCUUGGUGUUGGGUGCCUGUCCCGCCUCCGCGCGCGGACUCACCUCAAAUCCAUUGGCGGCCCCCGCGUCGGCCACGAGCGCAGCAGAAACGCGAACUCGUGAGCCCGUCCGGGCGGCUCCCAGAAGCUACACCCACCCAGUUUGACCUCGGAUCAGGUAGGGAUACCCGCUGAACUUAAGC